rnacentral:rRNA from 1 species
GCUCGCGAAAAUCUGACCGCACUUUCGCAAAAAUGGCAGGCAAAAUACCCGCUUGUGGCGAAAGGCUGGGAAGAUAACUGGGCAAAUAUUGCCACAUUUUUUGAUUAUCCGGCUGAUAUUCGUAAAGCGA